rnacentral:rRNA from 1 species
GCAAGUCGAGCGAAUCGAUGGGAGCUUGCUCCCUGAGAUUAGCGGCGGACGGGUGAGUAACACGUGGGCAACCUGCCUAUAAGACUGGGAUAACUUCGGGAAACCGGAGCUAAUACCGGAUACGUUCUUUUCUCGCAUGAGAGAAGAUGGAAAGACGGUUUACGCUGUCACUUAUAGAUGGGCCCGCGGCGCAUUAGCUAGUUGGUGAGGUAAUGGCUCACCAAGGCGACGAUGCGUAGCCGACCUGAGAGGGUGAUCGGCCACACUGGGACUGAGACACGGCCCAGACUCCUACGGGAGGCAGCAGUAGGGAAUCUUCCGCAAUGGACGAAAGUCUGACGGAGCAACGCCGCGUGAACGAAGAAGGCCUUCGGGUCGUAAAGUUCUGUUGUUAGGGAAGAACAAGUACCAGAGUAACUGCUGGUACCUUGACGGUACCUAACCAGAAAGCCACGGCUAACUACGUGCCAGCAGCCGCGGUAAUACGUAGGUGGCAAGCGUUGUCCGGAAUUAUUGGGCGUAAAGCGCGCGCAGGUGGUUCCUUAAGUCUGAUGUGAAAGCCCACGGCUCAACCGUGGAGGGUCAUUGGAAACUGGGGAACUUGAGUGCAGAAGAGGAAAGUGGAAUUCCAAGUGUAGCGGUGAAAUGCGUAGAGAUUUGGAGGAACACCAGUGGCGAAGGCGACUUUCUGGUCUGUAACUGACACUGAGGCGCGAAAGCGU